rnacentral:rRNA from 1 species
UACAGAGGUCCCGAGCGUUGUUCGGAUUCAUUGGGCGUAAAGGGUGUGUAGGAGGCUAGGUAAGUCAGGUGUGAAAUCUCAGAGCUUAACUCUGAAACUGCGCUUGAUACUGCUUGGCUAGAGGAUCGGAGGGGGUAACGGAAUUUAUGGUGUAGCAGUGAAAUGCGUAGAUAUCAUAAGGAACACCGGUGGCGAAGGCGGUUACCUGGAAGAUUCCUGACUCUGAAACACGAAAGCCAGGGGAGCAAACGGG